GGUUAAGCAAGAAAGGGCGCAGGGUGGAUGCCUUGGCACUGAGAGCCGAUGAAAGACGUGAUAAGCUGCGAUAAGCAGCGGUGAGGAGCAAAUAUCCGAUGACCCGCUGAUUUCUGAAUGGGGAAACCCGGCUGAGCAACCCUCAGUCACCAUAUGCUGAAUACAUAGGCAUAUGGAGGGAACCCGCUGAACUGAAACAUCUAAGUAGGCGGAGGAAGAGAAAGAAACAUCGAUUCUGUGAGUAGCGGCGAGCGAAAACGGAAGAGCCUAAACCGGAGCGCGUGCGUUCCGGGGUUCGGACUGCGACAUGUGAGCAAUAGGAUAACAGAACAGUCUGGGAAGUCAGACCAGAGAGGGUGAAAGUCCCGUAUGUGAAAUCCGAGUUGCAGCUAGCAGGAUCCAGAGUACCACGAGACACGAGAAACCUUGUGGGAAGGCAGGGAGACCACUCCCUAAGGCUAAAUACUACUCAGUGACCGAUAGCGCAUAGUACUGUGAAGGAAAGGUGAAAAGGACCCCGGGAGGGGAGUGAAAGAGAACCUGAAACCCUGUGUCUACAAGCUGUGGAAGAUCUUUACAUGAUCAACCGCGUACUUUUUGUAGAACGGUCCGGCGAGUUGCCAUGUCUGGCAAGGUUAAGUACUUAAGGUACGGAGCCGAAGUGAAAGCAAGUGUUAACAGCACGUAAAGUCAGACCGGGCAGACCCGAAACCGGGUGAUCUACCCAUGUCCAGGUUGAAGUUGCCGUAAAAGGCAAUGGAGGACCGAACGCACAUCCGUUGAAAAGGGUGGCGAUGAGGUGUGGGUAGGGGAGAAAUUCCAAUCGAACCCGGAGAUAGCUGGUUCUCCUCGAAAUAGCUUUAGGGCUAGCCUCAUAUUAGUCUUGCGGAGGUAGAGCACUGAAUAUCCUAGGGGGCGUCAAAGCUUACCGAAGAUUAUCAAACUCCGAAUGCCGUAAAGAUGAUGUAUGGGAGUCAGACUGCACGAGAUAAGUUGGGUAGUCAAAAGGGAAAGAGCCCAGACCUACAGCUAAGGUCCCAAAGUACGUGUUAAGUGGAAAAGGAUGUGGGAUUUCGAAGACAACUAGGAUGUUGGCUCAGAAGCAGCCAUACAUUCAAAGAGUGCGUAAUAGCUCACUAGUCGAGAGGUCCUGCGCCGAAAAUGUCCGGGGCUGAAACACGACACCGAAGCUUAGGAAUCGAAAGAUUGGUAGAGGAGCAUUGAAUACGGAACGAAGCAGUACCGGAAGGAGCUGUGGACUGUAUUGAAGAGAGAAUGCCGGAAUGAGUAGCGAGAUUUAAGUGAGAAUCUUAAAGGCCGAAUAUCUAAGGUUUCCAGGGUAAAGCUGAUCUUCCCUGGGUAAGUCGGGGCCUAAGGCGAGGACGAAAGUCGUAGUCGAUGGAUAACAGGUUGAAAUUCCUGUACCGCAUAUAUUCAGAAAUGUGGGGACACAGAUGGAGAGUACAGCCCGGGAAUGGAUAGACCGGGGCAAGCGAGGUAGGAGAAUGGCAGGCAAAUCCACCAUUCAAUCUGAAGACGUGACGCGUACCGAACAAGAGUAGGGAAGUGUAUGAGCCAGCUGUCGAGAAAAGCCGCUAUUGUGAUAUAUGUGCCCGUACCGUAAACCGACACAGGUGGAUGAGGAGAGAAUCCUAAGGCCGGCGGGAGAAGUGUUGUUAAGGAACUCGGCAAAAUGACCCCGUAACUUCGGGAGAAGGGGUGCCUCGGAAGAGGCCGCAGAGAAAUGGCCCAAGCAACUGUUUAGCAAAAACAUAGGUCUAUGCAAAACCGAAAGGUGAGGUAUAUGGGCUGACGCCUGCCCGGUGCUGGAAGGUUAAGAGGAGAGCUUAGCGCAAGCGAAGGUUUGAAUUUAAGCCCCAGUAAACGGCGGCCGUAACUAUAACGGUCCUAAGGUAGCGAAAUUCCUUGUCGGGUAAGUUCCGACCCGCACGAAAGGCGUAAUGAUUUGGGCACUGUCUCAACAACACACCCGGUGAAAUUGAAAUACCAGUGAAGAUGCUGGUUACCUGCGCCAGGACGGAAAGACCCCAUGGAGCUUUACUCCAGCUUGAUACUGGGAUUCGGUACUACCUGUACAGGAUAGGUGGGAGGCU
rnacentral:rRNA from 1 species